AUUGAACGCUGGCGGCAUGCCUUACACAUGCAAGUCGAACGGUAACAGGUCUUCGGAUGCUGACGAGUGGCGAACGGGUGAGUAAUACAUAGGAACGUGCCCGAUCGUGGGGGAUAACGAAGCGAAAGCUUUGCUAAUACCGCAUAAGAUCCAAGGAUGAAAGCAGGGGACCGCAAGGCCUUGCGCGAACGGAGCGGCCGAUGGCAGAUUAGGUAGUUGGUGGGAUAAAAGCUUACCAAGCCGACGAUCUGUAGCUGGUCUGAGAGGACGACCGGCCACACUGGGACGGAGACACGGCCCAGACUCCUACGGGAGGCAGCAGUGGGGAAUUUUGGACAAUGGGCGAAAGCCUGAUCCAGCCAUGCCGCGUGCAGGAUGAAGGCCUUCGGGUUGUAAACUGCUUUUGUACGGAACGAAAAGACUCUGGUUAAUACCUGGGGUCCAUGACGGUACCGUAAGAAUAAGCACCGGCUAACUACGUGCCAGCAGCCGCAGUAAAAC
rnacentral:rRNA from 1 species